GCGGUAGUCGUAUAACGGCUAGUAUACAGGACUGUGGAUCCUGUGACGCGGGUUCAAUUCCCGCCUACCGCC
rnacentral:tRNA from 1 species